AAAAAGAGUACUCGACACUGUGGGUUCGGCUCGCUGCGCCCCCCACAAAGGGGGCUCUCGUCCGAUUGGGUAUGGCCAUCAAGACAUACUCAGUACAUCAUUUUUGGAAACCGGCGUCUGUCGGCUGCCAAUAUACACCA